rnacentral:rRNA from 1 species
UACGUAGGGUGCAAGCGUUAAUCGGAAUUACUGGGCGUAAAGCGUGCGCAGGCGGUUGUGCAAGACCGAUGUGAAAUCCCCGGGCUUAACCUGGGAAUGGCAUUGGUGACUGCACGGCUAGAGUGUGUCAGAGGGGGGUAGAAUUCCACGAGUAGCAGUGAAAUGCGUAGAGAUGUGGAGGAAUACCGAUGGCGAAGGCAGCCCCCUGGGAUAACACUGACGCUCAUGCACGAAAGCGUGGGGAGCAAACAGG